rnacentral:misc_RNA from 1 species
ACACACACACACACACACACGCAAGAUGUCAACUUCAUCAUAUAGAAAGUAUUCAUUACAAAAUAACAAUUCAAAUAUUAUAUUGUCCACUAGUCCAAGCUUUCCAAAUUUUAUCUAGCCAACUCAACAAGUUCAACACUUUUUUGUGGACUUUGUCUCUUGCAACAAUAUUUCUAACAAGCGACAUCAUAACAAUUUAAAUGCUAUUAAAUGGGAGAAUAUAUCACAGUGAUUCCACGACCAGAUAAUAUACAUGGAUUGGCAAGCCAAUAAAGUAUAAACACAUAUAUAUAUAUA